AUACUUCCCUGGCAGGGGAGGUGCCAUGGUCACGAAGGUGGUGUCCCCAGGGCGAAGCUUAUCCAUUGCACUCUGGAAGUGCUGACCCCUUUGAUUUCCCCAAAUGUGGGAAACUUGACUAUAUAAUCUGUGGUAGUGGGAAACUGUAUUUGCACUCUCCCCUG